CUUCUAUCAUUGCCGACUACUCUUCCACCUUUCCAGUUGCUUAUCUUCUCCAGUUCAAUCUUCUCAAAACUCCACUUUCUCUGUACCUCCACUCACCAAUCUGUCCCUCUCCACUCAUUCCACAUACCAUCACUCCACCUCCACCCUUCUAUACGCCACUUGCUCCACCUCUCUACUGUAAUUUCUAGCUGUUCUCUUCCCUUUACCCCCAAUACUCCACAUAGACCACUUCCUCCACACUCCACUCCUCCACGUCCGCCUGCUCCACCUUGUUACAGUCACAUUUUUUCUUUAACAUGUACGUAAAGUUUCUAGCUGCAGUUUAUUUCACAAGUCUAGUUUCUUUCAAGUGCCGUCUACUCCACCUAGUCCACCUACUCCACUAUUUCUCUUCGUUUCCACUUUCAAUCUGCACCACUUCUCCACUCUACUUCUCAUCUUACUCCACUUCUCACUCCACUCUUGUUCCAUCAUAUUAUACUUACUCUCCACUUUCUCUAAUCAUACUCUUUCUCUCCACUUUCAAUCUACUCCACUUCUCCACUCUACAUUUUUUUUUCAAUCCACUCUUCCUCCAGCAUAUUUACAGCUUGCUCUCCACUUUCUCUAAUCAUUCUUUCUUUCCAGUUGCAAUCUGCACCGCUGUUCCACUUGUUCCGCCCUCCAAAUACUCCUUCCUACCUACGGGGGCUUCGUGGUGCAGUGGUUAGCACACUCGGCUCACAACCGAGAGCCCUGGUUCGAUUCCCGGGCGGAGUUGAAAAAAUGAGGGGCUUUUCCGAUACCCUACGCCCCUGUCCACCCAGCAGUGAAUGGGUACCAGGCCUUCUCAGGGACAACCAGGAGAAGACGAAGAUGAAAUUACAAAACCCAGAAGGCUGAAAGAGGAAGUCAGUCAGUCAGUCUACAGUCAUUACAAAACCCUGAAGACAAGACUGGAGGAGGAAGUCAGUCUAGUGUCAUCCCAAGAGGAGGCGGCCUGAGGUGCCAGCCAUCCACAGUCCACUCUUAUUCUCCCGUCCACUGAAGAAGGCACCAAGUAAGAGUUGCAAGGCAGAAGUGUGAGCUACAGAAAAAAGUGGCAAGAUGCAGUGUGGAGGGCCAGUUUCUCAAGAUGAGCCGGAGCAAGGCUGCCUCAAGCUGCUGUCCAAUCAGCGAAGAGAUCACCUCGGCAGCCCGGCAGGCCACAAUGGCAAUGUUCAGACUACAACAGCGUUCAGGGAAAACAAAACUACACACAUUUCGCGGCAGCCAUGGAGUCAUUAUUGAAACUGAAUUAUUAGCAUUAGAGUUUUACUAUGGAGAUAUACAUAUAUUACCACUGUAGUGAAAGACAGAGUAUGGAAGGAAAAUCACCAAAAUUUGUAGAAGUUUAGUAAAAUAAAUGUUUGCAAUAUACAAAAAAUCUACAAAAGGUGAAAAUGACAUCCUGAAACUAAGGUGAAGAUAUGAAAGCAAAAUACCUUGCCUGAAAAGGUGUGUAAAAACCUGCCUGGGUACACAAGUGCCUGAAAAGGUGUGUAAAAACCUGCCUGGGUACACAAGUGCCUGAAAAGGUGUGUAAAAACCUGCCUGGGUACACAAGUGCCUGAAAAGGUGUGUAAAAACCUGCCUGGGUACACGAGUGCAGAGUAACAGCCACACCCUGCAACACUCAGGAUGCAAGUAACUGCUGCACCAAUAAAUGCUCCCGACAACACUACGU